AGAGUUUGAUCAUGGCUCAGGACGAACGCUGGCGGCGCGCUUAACACAUGCAAGUCGAACGGAGUUGUCGGAGCUUGCUCCGGCAACUGAGUGGCGAACGGGUGAGUAACACGUGAGAAACCUAUCCUGGUCUCUGGGAUAACAGCCGGAAACGGCUGCUAAUACCGGAUGCCGUCGGAGCAUCGCAUGGUGCGCUGACGAAAGGGUUACUGGAUCAGGAGGGUCUCGCGGCCUAUCAGCUAGUUGGUGGGGUAACGGCCUACCAAGGCAUCGACGGGUAGCUGGUCUGAGAGGAUGAUCAGCCACACUGGGACUGAGACACGGCCCAGACUCCUACGGGAGGCAGCAGUGGGGAAUCUUGCGCAAUGGGCGAAAGCCUGACGCAGCAACGCCGCGUGCGGGAAGAAGGCCCUCGGGUUGUAAACCGCUUUCAGAAGGAACGAAAAUGACGGUACUUUCAGAAGAAGGUGCGGCCAACUACGUGCCAGCAGCCGCGGUGACACGUAGGCACCAAGCGUUGUCCGGAUUUAUUGGGCGUAAAGAGCUCGUAGGCGGUUCGGUAAGUCGGAUGUGAAAACUUUGGGCUCAACCCAAAGCGUGCACUCGAUACUGCCAUGACUAGAGUUCGGUAGGGGAGUGGGGAAUUCCUAGUGUAGCGGUGAAAUGCGCAGAUAUUAGGAGGAACACCGGUGGCGAAGGCGCCACUCUGGGCCGAAACUGACGCUGAGGAGCGAAAGCGUGGGUAGCAAACAGGAUUAGAUACCCUAGUAGUCC
rnacentral:rRNA from 1 species